rnacentral:rRNA from 1 species
GACAGAGGUGGCAAGCGUUGUUCGGAUUUAUUGGGUGUAAAGGGUCCGUAGGUGGUUAAGUAAGUCUGACGUGAAAUCCCAUGGCUCAACCGUGGAACUGCGUUGGAAACUGCAUAACUUGAGUACCGCAGAGGUAAAGGGAAUUCCCGGUGUAAGGGUGAAAUCUGUAGAUAUCGGGAGGAACACCAGUGGCGAAGGCGCUUUACUGGGCGGUAACUGACACUGAGGGACGAAAGCAAGGGGAGCAAAC